GCUCUCGGGUGACGAGUGGCGGACGGGUGAGUAAUGUCUGGGAAACUGCCUGAUGGAGGGGGAUAACUACUGGAAACGGUAGCUAAUACCGCAUAAYGUCGCAAGACCAAAGAGGGGGACCUUCGGGCCUCUUGCCAUCAGAUGUGCCCAGAUGGGAUUAGCUAGUAGGUGGGGUAACGGCUCACCUAGGCGACGAUCCCUAGCUGGUCUGAGAGGAUGACCAGCCACACUGGAACUGAGACACGGUCCAGACUCCUACGGGAGGCAGCAGUGGGGAAUAUUGCACAAUGGGCGCAAGCCUGAUGCAGCCAUGCCGCGUGUAUGAAGAAGGCCUUCGGGUUGUAAAGUACUUUCAGCGGGGAGGAAGGCGAUAAGGUUAAUAACCUUGUCGAUUGACGUUACCCGCAGAAGAAGCACCGGCUAACUCCGUGCCAGCAGCCGCGGUAAUACGGAGGGUGCAAGCGUUAAUCGGAAUUACUGGGCGUAAAGCGCACGCAGGCGGUCUGUCAAGU
rnacentral:rRNA from 1 species